GAUGAACGCUAGCGGCAGGCUUAACACAUGCAAGUCGAGGGGUAGGUUACUUCGGUAAUUGAGACCGGCGCACGGGUGCGUAACGCGUAUACAAUCUACCUUUUACAGAGGGAUAGCCCAGAGAAAUUUGGAUUAAUACCUCAUAGUAUAGUACUUUGGCAUCAAGGAACUAUUAAAGUCACAACGGCAAAAGAUGAGCAUGCGUCCCAUUAGCUAGUUGGUAAGGUAACGGCUUACCAAGGCUACGAUGGGUAGGGGUCCUGAGAGGGAGAUCCCCCACACUGGUACUGAGACACGGACCAGACUCCUACGGGAGGCAGCAGUGAGGAAUAUUGGACAAUGGGCGCAAGCCUGAUCCAGCCAUGCCGCGUGCAGGAUGACGGUCCUAUGGAUUGAAACUGCUUUUAUACAGGAAGAAACACUCCGACGUGUCGGGAGCUUGACGGUACUGUAAGAAGUAAGGAUCGGCUAACUCCGUGCCAGCAGCCGCGGU
rnacentral:rRNA from 1 species